rnacentral:lncRNA from 1 species
AAUAAAAUUAAUUAGUUUAUUGCUCUUAGCUUAUGCCAAUUGCGAAUGAGUGUUCAAUCAAGUGAGGUUUCUUUAAUUUUCUUGUGCCAAGAAAUCGAAUCGACUUAUUGGAUAAGCUCGUGGCAUUUUUUCUAUUCCACUUUGAUUCUUAAUUAUCUUAAUUUGCAUUCACAAGUUGAAUGUUAUUUAAGUAAGAAGAGUUUAUUAGGGAUUUAAGUUUUUUGCAAGUUAAUAUUAUAUAAGGGGUUUUUGAUUGCACUGUUGA